rnacentral:rRNA from 1 species
UACGUAGGUGGCGAGCGUUGUCCGGAUUUACUGGGCGUAAAGAGCGCGCAGGCGGUCGUUCAAGUCGCGUGUGAAAGCCCCCGGCUCAACUGGGGAGGGUCACGCGAUACUGAUCGACUCGAAGGCAGGAGAGGGAAGUGGAAUUCCCGGUGUAGUGGUGAAAUGCGUAGAGAUCCGGAGGAACACCAGUGGCGAAGGCGACACGCUGGGCCGUACCUGACACUGAUGCGCGACAGCAUGGGGAGCAAACAGG